UGGGGAAUAUUGCACAAUGGGCGCAAGCCUGAUGCAGCGACGCCGCGUGAGGGAUGACGGCCUUCGGGUUGUAAACCUCUUUCAGCAGGGACGAAGCGCAAGUGACGGUACCUGUAGAAGAAGGACCGGCCAACUACGUGCCAGCAGCCGCGGUAAUACGUAGGGUCCGAGCGUUGUCCGGAAUUACUGGGCGUAAAGAGCUCGUAGGUGGUUUGUCGCGUUGUUCGUGAAAACUCACAGCUCAACUGUGGGCGUGCGGGCGAUACGGGCAGACUUGAGUACUGCAGGGGAGACUGGAAUUCCUGGUGUAGCGGUGGAAUGCGCAGAUGUCAGGAGGAACACCGGUGGCGAAGGCGGGUCUCUGGGCAGUAACUGACGCUGAGGAGCGAAAGCGUGGGGAGCGAACAGGAUUAGAUACCCUGGUAGUCCACGCCGUAAACGGUGGGUACUAGGUGUGGGUUUCCUUCCUUGGGAUCCGUGCCGUAGCUAACGCAUUAAGUACCCCGCCG
rnacentral:rRNA from 1 species